rnacentral:lncRNA from 1 species
AAUGAAGUACUUUGAGUCAAAGACAUUAUUACUGACAUUAUUAUUAGUACUGCUAUUUUAUGCUCCACCCCUGAGUGUCCUAAUUCUAGCCUCUCCAGGCUUCAGUUUCCCCAUUCUGGAAUGGGGUGUGCUCUUGAAGAGGCCAUGGCAGGGGACUGGAAAGGACCAUCCCAAGGAAAGGAAUCAGUCAAGGCAACUCCUGAGUGAAGAAACUCCAUCAAUGCAAUGGCUCAGAAACUUGUGCUUGUUCAGUCACUGAACACUGGAAAGAUAGGGGGUGAUUUGUCUAGGUUCACACAGACCAGAGCUAGUUUGUCAGAGACUAGACUUGAAUUCAAAUCUACUUGGUUUCCAAACCAGCUCACUACUAUUUCAUGCUGCCUCAUGACAUACAGUUGGUGUUUAAUAAAUGCUUAUUGAUUAAUUGAUUGCA